GAUGAAGAACGCAGUGAAAUGCGAUAAGUAAUGUGAAUUGCAGAAUUCAGUGAAUCAUCGAAUCUUUGAACGCACAUUGCGCUCCCUGGUAUUCCGGGGAGCAUGCCUGUCUGAGCGUCAUUUCAACCCUCAUGCCCCUAGGGCGUGGUGUUGGGGAUCGGCCAAAGCCCGCGAGGGACGGCCGGCCCCUAAAUCUAGUGGCGGACCCGUCGUGGCCUCCUCUGCGAAGUAGUGAUAUUCCGCAUCGGAGAGCGAUGAGCCCCUGCCGUUAAACCCCCAACUUUCCAAGGUUGACCUCAGAUCAGGUAGGAAUACCCGCUGAACUUAAGCAUAUCAAUAAGCGGAGGA
rnacentral:misc_RNA from 1 species